UGCAUAUGAUGACUGAUUACCUGAGAAAUAAUUGAUGAAGUCUCCAGAAAAUUAAAAAAAAAAACAA